CAGUCGCCGCGGUAAUACAGAGGGUGCGAGCGUUAAUCGGAUUUACUGGGCGUAAAGCGUGCGUAGGCGGCUUUUUAAGUCGGAUGUGAAAUCCCUGAGCUUAACUUAGGAAUUGCAUUCGAUACUGGGAAGCUAGAGUAUGGGAGAGGAUGGUAGAAUUCCAGGUGUAGCGGUGAAAUGCGUAGAGAUCUGGAGGAAUACCGACGGCGAAGGCAGCCAUCUGGCCUAAUACUGACGCUGAGGUACGAAAGCAUGGGGAGCAAACAGGAUUAGAUACCCCAGUAGUCCCUGUCUCUUAUAA
rnacentral:rRNA from 1 species